rnacentral:rRNA from 1 species
ACACCGGCAGCUCAAGUGGUAGCCGCUUUUAUUGGGCCUAAAGCGUCCGUAGCCGGUCUGAUAAGUCUCUGGUGAAAUCCCACAGCUUGACUGUGGGAAUUGCUGGAGAUACUAUCAUGACUCGAGGUCGGGAGAGGCUGGAGGUACUCCCAGGGUAGGGGUGAAAUCCUGUAAUCCUGGGAGGACCACCUGUGGCGAAGGCGUCCAGCUGGAACGAACCUGGCGGUGAGGGACGAAAGCCAGGGGCGCGAACCGGAUUAGAUACCCGGGUAGUCCUGGCCGUAAACGAUGUGGACUUGGUGUUGGGAUGGCUCCGAGCUGCCCCAGUGCCGAAGGGAAGCUGUUAAGUCCACCGCCUGGGAAGUACGGUCGCAAGACUGAAACUUAAAGGAAUUGGCGGGG